GAUGAACGCUGGCGGCGUGCCUCAAACAUGCAAGUCGAGCGGGGCUAUGUAAUAUCGCAAGGUAGAACAUAGCCUAGCGGCGAACGGGUGAGUAACACGUGGGUAACCUGCCUGGAAGACAGGGAUAACGAUUCGAAAGGGUCGCUAAUACCUGAUAAUAUCCUUUCAUCGCAUGGUGAUAGGAAGAAAGGGGAAACCCGCUUUCAGAUGGGCCCGCGUCCCAUCAGCUAGUUGGUAAGGUAAAGGCUUACCAAGGCGACGACGGGUAGCCGGUCUGAGAGGAUGUACGGCACACUGGGACUGAGAUACGGCCCAGACUCCUACGGGAGGCAGCAGUUGGGAAUCUUAGGCAAUGGACGAAAGUCUGACCUAGCGACGCCGCGUGAGGGAAGAAGGCCUUCGGGUUGUAAACCUCUGUCAUGGGGAAGAAGUAAGUGACGGUACCCAAGAGGAAGCCCCUGCUAACUACGUGCCCAAGCCAGGCCGCGGUAAGGAGUAGUACA
rnacentral:rRNA from 1 species